rnacentral:rRNA from 1 species
UACGUAGGGUGCGAGCGUUAAUCGGAAUUACUGGGCGUAAAGCGUGCGCAGGCGGCUUUGCAAGACAGAUGUGAAAGCCCCGGGCUCAACCUGGGAACUGCAUUGGAUACUGGCGAUCUGGAGUGCGGUAGAGGGUGGCGGAAUUCCACGUGUAGCAGUGAAAUGCGUAGAGAUGUGGAGGAACACCGAUGGCGAAGGCAGCCCCCUGGGUCAAGAUUGACGCUCAUGCACGAAAGCGUGGGGAGCAAACAGG